AAGACCUUGCGCUUUUGGAGCGGCCGAUGCCUGAUUAGCUUGUUGGUAAGGUAAAAGCUUACCAAGGCUUCGAUCAGUAGCUGGUCUGAGAGGACGACCAGCCACACUGGGACUGAGACACGGCCCAGACUCCUACGGGAGGUAGCAGUGGGGAAUUUUGGACAAUGGGGGCAACCCUGAUCCAGCCAUGCCGCGUGAGUGAAGAAGGCCUUCGGGUUGUAAAGCUCUUUCAGCCGGAACGAAACGGUUACGGAUAACACCCGUGACUACUGACGGUACCGGAAGAAGAAGCACCGGCUAACUACGUGCCAGCAGCCGCGGUAAUACGUAGGGUGCGAGCGUUAAUCGGAAUUACUGGGCGUAAAGCGUGCGCAGGUGGUUUUGUAAGUCAGAUGUGAAAGCCCCGGGCUCAACCUGGGAACU
rnacentral:rRNA from 1 species